AUUGAACGCUGGCGGCAGGCUUAACACAUGCAAGUCGAGCGGGGGAAGGUAGCUUGCUACCGGACCUAGCGGCGGACGGGUGAGUAAUGCUUAGGAAUCUGUCUAUUAGUGGGGGACAACAUCUCGAAAGGGAUGCUAAUACCGCAUACGUUCUACGGGAGAAAGCAGGGGAUCUUCGGACCUUGCGCUACUAGAUGAGCCUAAGUCGGAUUAGCUAGUUGGUGGGGUAAAGGCCUACCAAGGCGACGAUCUGUAGCGGGUCUGAGAGGAUGAUCCGCCACACUGGGACUGAGACACGGCCCAGACUCCUACGGGAGGCAGCAGUGGGGAAGAUUGGACAAUGGGGGGAACCCUGAUCCAGCCAUGCCGCGUGUGUGAAGAAGGCCUUAUGGUUGUAAAGCACUUUAAGCGAGGAGGAGGCUACUUUAGUUAAUACCUGGAGAUAGUGGACGUUACUCGCAGAAUAAGCACCGGCUAACUCUGUGCCAGCCGCCGCCGUAA
rnacentral:rRNA from 1 species